rnacentral:rRNA from 1 species
AGAGCCCAAACCAAGAAGCUUGCUUCUUGGGGUUGUAGGACACUCUAUACGGAGUUACAAAAGAAAGUUAUAAAUGAAGCGGUCGGGAAAGGCCCGCCAAAGACGGUAACAGCCCGGUAGUUGAAAUGGCUUUCCCUCCAGAGUGGAUCCUGAGUACGGCGGAACACGUGAAAUUCCGGCGGAAUCCGGGAGGACCAUCUCCCAAGGCUAAAUACUCCCUAGUGACCGAUAGUGAACCAGUACCGUGAGGGAAAGGUGAAAAGCACCCCGGAAGGGGAGUGAAACAGUUCCUGAAACCGUGUGCCUACAAGUAGUUAGAGCCCGUUAAUGGGUGAUAGCGUGCCUUUUGUAGAAUGAACCGGCGAGUUACGAUUUGUUGCAAGGUUAAGCGGAAAAAGCGGAGCCGUAGCGAAAGCGAGUCUGAAUAGGGCGCAUAAGUAACAGGUCGUAGACCCGAAACCAGGUGAUCUACCCAUGUCCAGGAUGAAGGUAAGGUAAUACUUACUGGAGGUCCGAACCCACGCACGUUGAAAAG